GGAGAGGGAGAGAGACGAGGAUGCACCGGGGCCGGUUCACUUUAAGUUCGAAUACCAAGCCUGUCUAUAAACAGUUUGGUGUUCUACCUUACAGUGAGUCGACCGUGGUAUCGUCGACGUUCCAACA